GACGAACGCUGGCGGCGUGCUUAACACAUGCAAGUCGAGCGGUAAGGCCCUUUCGGGGGUACACGAGCGGCGAACGGGUGAGUAACACGUGGGUGACCUGCCCUCAGCUCUGGGAUAAGCCUGGGAAACCGGGUCUAAUACCGGAUAUGACUCCAUGACGCAUGUUGUGGGGUGGAAAGCCCUGUGCGGCUGAGGAUGGGCCCGCGGCCUAUCAGCUUGUUGGUGGGGUGAUGGCCUACCAAGGCGACGACGGGUAGCCGGCCUGAGAGGGCGACCGGCCACACUGGGACUGAGACACGGCCCAGACUCCUACGGGAGGCAGCAGUGGGGAAUCUUGCGCAAUGGGCGAAAGCCUGACGCAGCGACGCCGCGUGAGGGAUGACGGCCUGGU
rnacentral:rRNA from 1 species